UCAAACUUGGUCAUUUAGAGGAAGUAAAAGUCGUAACAAGGUUUCCGUAGGUGAACCUGCGGAAGGAUCAUUAUUGAAUACGAUUGGCACUGAUGCUGGCUCUUUACUGAGCAUGUGCUCGUGUCGUCUAUUUAUCUUCUCUUGUGCACCUUUUGUAGUCAGUGAAUUGGAAACUAUGCGCAGCUUUCAUUAGCUUGCGGUUUGAAGGCUGAAUUAAAACCCUGCCUUUGUUCCUCUGCGCACUCUUUAACUAGAGUUGCGGUCUGGGAGUUGUUAACCCUUCUCCUGCUUCACUGACUAUGUUUUCAUAUACACUAUAAAGUCAUAGAAUGUCAUUUAACUUGAUUGCGCUUGUCGUAGUCGUUAAACCAAUACAACUUUCAGCAACGGAUCUCUUGGCUCUCCCAUCGAUGAAGAACGCAGC
rnacentral:misc_RNA from 1 species